rnacentral:lncRNA from 1 species
GUAUGGUCUACCCCUUUGCCACCCACCUGCUCCAUCCUUGCUCCUGCCAGCAUAUGUGGAGUAAGCUUUUAAGGCUAUGUUUGUGAUUAGGUUGGUUUGAAGUCUUUUGUUGUUGGAUAGAGGUGACACAUUAACUUAGGAAAGACUAGAUUUAAAAGAUAUUACAAAUUCCUUGGAUAACCAGAAACUUCCGUGUAACAUGCACUAUGAAAGAGAAGUUUAUUUGGCUUUUAUUUUUUUUAAUGAGAAAAAGAGCAUUUAUUAGUUUGCAUUUAUUUGGCUUUUAAACAAAAAGAUAACACUUGACGAGAACAUUAGACCCUGACAUCUCAAUUAUCUUCUUUUAAGCUAAUUAUGCUACUAAGUUUCCAACAUAUUGGUCAAGCACAUCAUUGGGAAUGAAGAUCGAAGGAUCAUCUUGACUUGCUCCAUGGGGCCUUGUGAAGUAUCUCAGGUCUGUAAAACUCUUGAAGGGAGAAGCUGGUGACCCCAGGAGUUGUGCAAUGUGGAGACAGCACCCUGUUCACAAAUGGCUUGGUUCACUCUGUCCCCCUUUCCUUAUAUCUGCCAUCAGUUGAACUCAUAGGACAGAAGGUUAAACAGUGGAUUUCCAGAGCUAUAAGGGACCUGGAUUCCUCUUAGAGUCAGGGGUAGAACAGUUUAUUGCUCAGCUCAUGAAGCAGACAUAUUUGAGUUUGAACCAUGGCUCUGUGCUUCAUUGGAGAUCCAUAAAAUGAAUAAAAUAAUAAUAUUUCAUGAAAUCAUGUAGCCUAAAUACUUGGAAUCUGAUGCAGUUAAAUAUACAAAUAAAUGUUAAUUCCUAUUAUAAUCUUACCUCCUAUCCCUCCUUUUAAAAAUUUACUUUGGGACUCAGUGAUAUGAAAUGACUCAUCUGAAGUCUUAUAGCUGAUUAAUAAUAGUCAAACUUAAUUUAGUGUUGCCUUAACAGCAUCCUAGGAUUUGCCCAGUAGAAUUUUGUUUUUAGCCACCUUUGAAUGUCCAUAAGCGUGGCUCUCAGCACAUAAGACUCUAUAUUGUCCUUCUUCUGCAACUGAUUUUCACACUUAAACCAUGACAUACUUUCCCCCCAUGUAUUUCAAUAGUUUUGGUAUUGAUCUUUGAGCUGUUAGCCUUAACAUUCUGCUUUUCAAAGUCUGUUGUCUGGAGAGCUAAACCCACAGUGGACUGUGUCCCUAACUCAGCCCAGAUCUCCUUUGAUCCUUUUUUACCAUUUAUGUCUGUGAGAUUAUUCUCUUCUGUUUGUUUGAUUUUCUUCUAACAGUAUUCUCUUGAAAUCCUUCUGGAGUCCAAGAUGUGCAGAUAGGCAGCAGGAUGUAGGAUUUUAUGUUCUUUAAAACAUAAAAUCCAAGCCCUUAGCCCAAGAGGGUUUGGGCAGGAAUACAAAACCCCCGUCUCCAUGCCCGUGAUCAGGACAAACUCCGAAACGUAGUUUAUAUAACAGACCUCCCUCUGGGGAUCUAGGCUGAAGCUAGCAGUUUGUCUGAAAUUCCACCUUUUCUUGGAUGCUUCUCCUUCUGUGUCCUGCCUCUGUGCUUGGCAGUGAGUCCUUAUCUCAGAGUCUGGUUCUGGAACCUCCAGCCAAGCAGAGCAUUAUUUAUGAACAAGCUACCCUCUGUUUUACAUAUAUACUUCCUCAUACCAGAAAUUAUUCAGGGGGUGGAAUUUCUUGCUAUUUCAGUGAAAUCACAUAUGCAAAGUCUCUUUGUACAUGGUGCAUGCUAUAGAAAUGUGAAUAUGAUUCUUCACAUUUUAUUUCCUUUGCUGUUAUUUUGAAUAAAUCCAGUCUAUAGUGUGCAUAUCAGAAUUUCCAUGUCUCACUUUUCAACUGCAUUGGAGUGUAUUUUCCCAUUUAUGACACUUUAGUUCCUCUGAAGACCCCUCGCACUGAUUGUCUCAGGUCAGAAAUUAUAGUUAUUAAAGGAUGCAGAGCCAGGAUGCUUCGUGCAUCCAAGGCUAGGUUAUAUUUUCUCCAUAAUAUCUGAUAUGCCCUUAUUAUCUAAUUAAUAACAUAUUUUAGUAUAUAAAAGUAUUUAAAGGUACAUACUUCACUAUAAUUGUCAAUUAUUUUUCUCAGGCUUUCCCCCUCAUAUUUUUUUUUGGGGGGGGGGAUUUAGCCUUUCAUUUGCAAACAAAUGUCCAAGGAAUAAACAAGCUUACUGCAACCAAGAAUGUUGGUUGAUACAAAUCAACUGAUACAAAUCUUCAGUUCUUCGUCCUGAUGUUCACUUUCAUGAUUUCAAUAGCAAAUACUUGUCUACUAAAAAGUCCAGAAAAAGUUAAGAUGCUUAUUUUUUUCCUAUGGUUCUCUGUGGUUUCUGCUAAAACCAUACCUUCUGUGGCUGCAUUUGUAAUGGCUUCAUCAGGACUUGUCUGCCAAGGGGAAGGCUGAAGUUUCCCACCUGCAAUUGGUGCUGGGCCAGCAUCUGUCCUCUAAUCCCACAACCCACCAUGGUUUUUUUGAAUACCAAAGGUGCUUUUAAAAGCCCAUGCAGAAGUGGAUGCUGAAACUCCCACAUAGUCAUUUUGCUUCAAUGUGAUGUACAUUCUAUAGUCUGCAACCGGUGACAGAUCUCAUGGGAGGGCUUUUAACCCUCAGUCUGCCAUAGCCAAGACCUCUAGCUUGAAGAGAUUGUGAGAAGUGAAUUUGAGGUUAACCACUUCAUCUCCCAGAUGUUCCAAUUCAGACUUACCUCUGAUUUAGUUAGUUAAGAAUGUUAUGCAAGCCAUCAACAAAGCUGGGAAACUAUGACCAGAUGCCAUUGCUGUGAGGUCCUGGGUAUGGUCCCAGCAGUGCCCUGCUAUGUAGACUUGGAGCUGAGAUCACUGGGCAUAUGACAACAGUAUUCAGCACAGGAGAGAUCCCUGGCCCCGUGCAAAGGGUUUUUUGUUUGUUUUUGAUUCCUUGAUGAUUGUUUACAAAUUGUAAAUUCUGUAUUUUAACUUGAACAAUUGUUAUACUUGUUUGCAAAUAAAUCAAAAUGAGAAGUUCCGAGUAAUCAGUUUGGUUCUAAUAAAAAAAAAUCUCUAGCCAUUAGAAAAAUACAAAUUAAAACUACACUGACAUUUCAUCUUACUCCAGUCAGAAUGGCAAUUAUCAAGAGUAUAAGUAACAAUAAAUGUUGGUGAGGAUGUGGGGAAAAGGAUACAAUCACACAUUGCUGGUGGGACUGCAAAUUGGUGCAACCACUCUGGAAAACAGUAUAGUUUCCUCAAAAAACUAGGAAUGGAACUACCAUUUGGCCUAACUAUCCCAUUCCUCAAUUUUUAUCCAAAAGUUUUAAAAUCAGAAUACCACAGUGAUGCAGCAACAUCAAUUGUCAUAGCAGCUAAAUUCACAAUAGCUAAGCUAUGGAACCAACUUGGAUUCCCUUUAACAGAUGAAUGGAUAAAGAAAUUGUGGUAUAUAUGCACAAUGGAGUAUUACUCAGCCAUUAUGAAGAAUGACUUUAAGACAUUUGCAAGUAAAUGGAUGAACCUGAAGACUAUCAUACUAAGUGAAAUAAACCAGUUCUCCCAAACCAAAAGUUGAAUGUGUUUGCUGAUACAUGGAAGCUAAUCCACAAUAAGGGUAUAGAAGAGAGGAAAAUAUAUUCAGUAGAUUAGACAAAGGGCAAUGAAGGGAAGGGAGGCAGGAUAGGAAAAAGAAAGGCAGUGGAAUGAAUCUGAAAUAAUUUUACCAGGUAUUUAUAUGAAUACACCAUAGUGAAUCCCAC